UACGGAGGGUGCGAGCGUUGUCCGGAAUCAUUGGGCGUAAAGGGCGCGUAGGUGGCCCGGUCAGUCUUUGGUGAAAGCGCGGGGCUCAACCCUGCGUCGGCCAGGGAUACUGCCGCGGCUCGAGCACAGUAGAGGCAGGCGGAAUUCCGGGUGUAGCGGUGGAAUGCGUAGAGAUCCGGAAGAACACCGGUGGCGAAGGCGGCCUGCUGGGCAGUUUGGCUGACACUGAGGCGCGACAGCGUGGGGAGCAAACAGG
rnacentral:rRNA from 1 species